CUGCCGCCCCGCACAGGGGCGAAGCUAAUAGACCGAUAACAAAGCAACUUUCACGGGAGCGCAG
rnacentral:sRNA from 1 species